rnacentral:lncRNA from 1 species
GCUCUGACUCACACGAUUCCCCUGGGGUCACUGCGGGACUGCAGUUGCUUGCUUGUUCUCGCUCUUUCUCUUCUCCCUUUGUGGCUAGAAUGAACUGAUUUUUUUUUUUUUUUUUGUCUUCUCACCCCCAAUUUCUUUUUCUCCCUCAUUUUUUUUUUCUUUCUCUGAGUUGCAGAACCUCCUUCUGAAGGACUUAGGAGUCCUGAGGCCCUGAAGGCCUUGAGGGUGCGGUGGCCUCUCAGGGGACAUACUGGGCCUGCCUCUAGCUCUGCUGUCUGCCAGACAGCCCUUUCUGAGUAUCCCUUGCUAGUGAGUGAGGCUGGUCCCCAGGCAGGCUGGUCCCCAGGCAGGCUGGCCCCCCAGGCAGGCUGGUCCCCAGGCAGGAUCUUAGCAUCCUUUAUCUGUUCCAGGGCCCUUGCAGAGCCAGCCCUGGAGCACCUGCUGUGCGACAGAGCCCCUGUCAGGGUUUGAGGAAGAACUGCACUGGUGGACUGUCCAUGUGCCUGCUCCUCUUGUUGCUGU